GAACGAACGCUGGCGGCAGGCUUAACACAUGCAAGUCGAACGCCCCGCAAGGGGAGUGGCAGACGGGCGAGUAACGCGUGGGAAUCUACCUAGUUCUACGGAACAACAGAGGGAAACUUCUGCUAAUACCGUAUACGCCCCAAGGGGGAAAGAUUUAUCGGAAUUAGAUGAGCCCGCGUAAGAUUAGCUAGUUGGUGGGGUAAUGGCCUACCAAGGCGACGAUCUUUAGCUGGUCUGAGAGGANGAUCAGCCACACUGGGACUGAGACACGGCCCAGACUCCUACGGGAGGCAGCAGUGGGGAAUAUUGGACAAUGGGGGAAACCCUGAUCCAGCCAUGUCGCGUGUGUGAAGAAGGCC
rnacentral:rRNA from 1 species